rnacentral:lncRNA from 12 species
GCAGGAAUGAAUAACCCACUGGGUUUUGUAAUCAUCAACCUGAUACUCAAACACGUCUGUGAGUGAUUCUGUACUCGUGCAAAUAUGCAAGCCCAGAACUGUGUUUUUAUCUGUGUUUGGGUUUUUUUCUUCUUUUUUAUUUAGAAAGUCUGUCAGUAAAAUAUUCAGAAAUUUUAUCUGGAUCAUUCAGGAACCGUCUUCCAGUUUUCCACUGAAGGAUUUACAAGGAUGUGUUGACUGGAACCUCUCUCCCCCUGAGUGUUUGAAGCAAUUCCCCCCCUGGAGCCCCUGGGAUCAGAGCCCGUGUCUGCAGCAGCAGCAGCCACAGUGGAAGCUGGGGGCAACAAAUCUAUCUCUGUACUCAGGGCACCAGUAGGAGAAAGACCAACAAAAUCUCAUGGGAAAUAUUAUUUCACCAACAUUAUUUUUUCUUUUCUGCUGAAAGGGGAAGUUGGAGUCAUGGGCAAAUGGUCCCAGAGCUCCUCCUGCUUUAUGUUCC